GCCCGCGUGGCGGAAUUGGCAGACGCGCUAGCUUCAGGUGCUAGUGUCUUUACGGAUGUGCUGGUUCGACUCCAGUCGCGGGCACCA
rnacentral:tRNA from 1 species